rnacentral:tRNA from 1 species
GGCCCGUUGGUAAAGUGAUUAAUACGUCUCCCUUUCACGGAGAAGAUCGCGGGUUUGAAUCCCGCACGGGUCACCA